UACGUAGGGGGCAAGCGUUGUCCGGAAUUAUUGGGCGUAAAGCGCGCGCAGGCGGUCAUUUAAGUCUGGUGUUUAAUCCUAGGGCUCAACCCUAGGUCGCACUGGAAACUGGGUGACUUGAGUACAGAAGAGGAAAGUGGAAUUCCACGUGUAGCGGUGAAAUGCGUAGAGAUGUGGAGGAACACCAGUGGCGAAGGCGGGUCUCUGGGCAAUUCCUGACGCUGAGGCGCGAAAGCGUGGGGAGCAAACGGG
rnacentral:rRNA from 1 species